rnacentral:misc_RNA from 1 species
GAAAAGGCUAAGGCUAGAUUCUGGAUCAAGUUCGGAGAAGAUAAGAACUCAGAAUUUCAUCAAAUAUUUCACAAGAUUGGAGAAGAGCAAGUCAAGGCAACUGAAAAUGCCAAAAAAAUCCUAAAAAUUAUAGAGGAACAAGGUCUUGGAGAUAAAAAGUUUUUUAGUGGGGAUACGAUUGGUUUAAUUGACAUAGCCUUUGGGUGGCUUGCUUUCUGGCUAGAAGUCAUACAAGAAGCUGCUGGAGUAAAGGUCUAUGAACCAAACAAUUUUCCUCAUUUACAAUCUUGGAUUAACAAUUUCAAACAAGUAGCUAUCAUCAAAGAAAAUAUCCCAAAUCGAAAUGCAAUGCUAGAUUAUUUCAAACUUCGUAGAGAUAUGAUUGUUGCAUUAUGAUCACUUCAAUGUUGAUGAUGGCUUUAUAUAUAUUGAAUAAGAUGUAGUUUGGUUAUGUGGUGUUACGAACAGAAGGAAUACAUGUACAAUAUUAAAUUUACUCUUACUUUAGUAUCAUUCAUUAUAUAUUGAACGAA